rnacentral:rRNA from 1 species
GAUGAACGCUGGCGGCGUGCCUAAUACAUGCAAGUCGAGCGAACAGACGACGAUCUUACUCUUCUGACGUUGCCGACGGACGGGUGAGUAGCACGUAACUUACCUACCUAUAAGACUUGGAUAACUGCGGGAAACCGUAGCUAAUACCGGGUAACAUUUCUAACUGCAUGGUUCAGGAAUGAAACGGCGUCUGGCUAUCACUUCUAGAUGGAUCCGCUUGGCAUUAGCUAGUUGGUAAGGUAACGGCUUACCAAGGCAACGAUGCGUAGCCGACGUGAGCGGGUGAACCGCCACACCGGGACUGAGCCACGGUCCAGACACUUACGGGCGGCAGAAGUAGGGAAUGUUCCGAACUGGGCGAAAGCCUGAAGGAGGAACGCAGGGUGAGUGCAGAAGGUCUGCGGAUCGUAAAACUCUGUUAUUAGGGAAGACCAAAUGUGUAAGUAACGAUGCACUUCUUGACGGUACCUAAUCAGAAAGCCACGGCUAACUACGUG